rnacentral:lncRNA from 1 species
CAUCUAUGAAUAAUAAAAUUUCACUUCAAUGAACUCUCAACCUUUAACCCCCAAACGUCAUUCAAUCACAAACACAAUUUUCAACUCAGAUCAACUCUUCUAAUAAUUAUACCAAAAUAAAACUCUUCUCAUGCAAUAUUAAUUACAACCCACAUAUCUAUUAUGUACAUGCCAUAUUUGUACAAUUUUCUAUAUGUCAAGUCUCAAUAGUGAGAAAGGAAUCGCGAAUGAGUGUGUCUUGAUUAGUAAUAUUUUUUCGGGGCAAUGGCAUAAAUAUUCCAAAUCUUUGA